rnacentral:lncRNA from 10 species
AAGCGUGCGUGUAACCGUGUCCCUGGGCGUGGGAAUGCGGGUGUGAAGGGGUCACCUGCACACGGGUGGGGACCCGCCAGCCCUCUUCCCUUCCGCCCCAGGAAGGCCUCUUUGUUUAUUUCUUUCCGGAGACCGCGGUGGUUCUUCAAUCACCAGUUCUCAAUCCUGAUUGCACCUCGGAGCCCCCUUCGGGAGCUUUUACAAAACCCUCAGGCCUGAGCCCUACCCCAGAGGCUCGCGAUGAAUUGGACUCUGCUGAGGCCCCCAGCGGAUGUUUCUUCAGACGUCCGCGUGGAUUCCGACAUGCGGCGUGGUUGGGAACCGCCGAGUACCCACUCCCACUGUCCCCAGCCCUGCUGCCGACCCUGGACGCCAGCGAGCGCCAAGGAGACCGGGGCCGGCUUGGCCUCGGGUUUAGGGCCUGGAAGCUUAUCCUUCGCCUUCACUGGUUGAGGUCAAGUGCACAUUCCCCCGACACUAGCGCUGGGUCUUAGGCUACCGACUGGGCAACCUCACCUCCAUUAUUGCAUCUAAGCCUUACAGCAGCCCCAUGGGAAAAAAGCUGUCGUGAAACGAAGCUCAGUUGAGUGUCACAAAGGGUCACAAAGCUAGGUAUUCGACCCACCGAAUUGGAGUCCAGGGCUAUGGGACUCCAAAGUCCACGUUCUUUCCACUGUAAUAUUUAAAAAUAAAAAUUAAACAACUAAAUCAAAAACCACCGCUGCUUUUCAAGUGCUGCCAAGACCUCAAGCUGACCAGGUCCCUGGAAAAACCCUGGGAGGACUCUGGAGGAGGCGGGGUUAGGGUGUAGCAAGACUCCUGACCCCAGAAGGUAGAUACGGCCUAGACGACGUCACUAGAAAUUGCCCGGGGCGUCUUCUCUCCAGCAACCUUCUGCACCGCCUUCCACCUGGGUAGUCUCCCUCCCCGUCCCGGCCCUUCCAGGCUCCAGCUCCCCACCCCCUCCCUACAGGAAGGAAAUGUGACAGCACAAGCCGUUCGCCAUCACCCAGGAGCUGUCAGCAGCUGCGCAGCCCGGGGCGGGAGAGAGCACCGCGGUCAGAGACCCGGGGACCGGGGAGCUGCACCACCGCGUUCCGGGCCCCGCGCCUGGGCUUCGCCUCGCUGCACCGCGCCUGCUUGCUCCUAGCGGGAGCCCAGAGUCUCCGAGUCUCCUCAACAGCUUCGCGACAGGAGUCUCUUGCCUCAGCUGCCUGAGCAGUCCUCCUGGAGAGGGAGGAGAGGAGGAUGAAAUGAGCUCUGGGCUCUGCUAGCCCCAGACUCCCCCAUUACCCAGAGGUGUGGGUUUCCACGAGUGCAGGCUCCAACCAGCGCCUUAGCAUCACCAAGCUCCAGAGGGCCCUGGGCUUCUGAGGCCACCCAGGCCCACCCACCCUUCUCACAGCAGGGGAGAUAAAGGUCCAGGGAGGUGAAGUGACUGGAGGUUUCAUGGCCUCCUGACUGCCUGCCCAGCUUUACUCUGGCUGCACCAGACCCUUUAACAGGCAAACCUGUCAGUGCUUACUUACCGGGGACAUUUUCUACAGAGAGAACCUCAGUGCUGGGGAAAGGAGUAACUAUAGGCUUGCAGGCAGCAUCUGCCCACAAGGUGCCCUGGAGAGAGGGAAAAGUUGGAAACCCUGGGCCCCCAGCCUGAGCACUACCCAGUUUGAGUUUCUGGGGCCUGAUGGGGCUGGUGGUGGCUGCUGUUGUUAUUAUUAAGAGUUCAGAAUUCUCGUAGGUUCUAACAACUGUGUUCAUUCUCAAUAAAUGGUUUCUUAAUAAUCGUUUUAAUUAGCAA